rnacentral:tRNA from 1 species
GCCGAGUUUGUAUACUGGUUAGUACAUUGCGUUGUUGCCGCAAUAACCCAGGUUCGAAUCCUGGUCACUGUA